GAUCGCCUGAGCGCCAGCUCAGGUGUGGCCGGUCUAGCAGACGAUGGGGUCAGCUGACCGGCCGGGCCAAUGGGUGCGAGCGAGAGCGAGUGAGGCGAGCGGGGGCCGGCGGCCGGACGCUGGACCUCGGUCACUCAGAGAGCGACAGCAGCGAGGGAGGGUCUCCCUCGGAGGGACCCGAGCACCUGUAAUGUUUUUCUUUUGAACAUCCGUGCGUCACCCGCACAUUGUGCUUGGGUCCUAGUUUUCCGUCUUUAGACGUGGUACACACUAUGUGUUUCCCUUUGGGAUUGUCGCCCUGAUGGCGUUAUGGUUCUGCUGGGUCGACGGGAAGGUGGGCUAGGCCCCCCAUUCUCACCGGCGGUCUGCCCGUGAUGUCACCAGCAGCAAGUCUUGUGUUGUCGAUCUCCGUCCGCCCCGCCGGGGCCGGGUCGGUCUGCUUCGUGGUGAAGCACUCACUCUCUCUCCAUCACCAUAUUGCUCGUGUGAGUUUAUUUUGUGGUUCUGUAACCUCGUGUUUUGUACAACCAAAAUAGUAUCUUCCUGGUUCCGCGGCGGUACGGUCCGUUCUGUUGUACUUUUGGUGCUUUGGCUCUACUUUGUUUAUGGUGUCUCGGGGAAGGCGCGGGGGUCGGCGAGGCCCUUGCACGUUGUUGUAUGCGGCGUGCCCGGCUGGCUCCCCGUCUCUCCUCGUUGCGCUUGAGUUUAGCUUUUUGUCCUUUAGGGAUUCGCGCCUUUUAAAGUUUUGAUUGACGUACCGUCCGCGGACCAGUUGGGUUGCCUGCCCUCCCGGCGCGCGUUCGAAAGGUUGCCUAACUUCCAGUUAUGGUUGGUUCAGUUCUUGUUGUGAGAUUUAGAUGAUGUGAUUUGUAUAUAACUAUUAUGUUAUUUUAAUUGUCUAGUCUUUGAGAACGGCUCCCUUUCAGUUUUGUGUUUAGCACUUGUAUUUAAGAUCUUUAUGAUUCGACCAGCAGCAAUUCGCCAUUUGUGUUAUUGUCUUUAGUGCUAUGUUUUUGUAUUCAAUAAACAUUCUACUCUGUGCUA